AUUGAACGCUGGCGGCAUGCCUUACACAUGCAAGUCGAACGGCAGCACGGGAGCAAUCCUGGUGGCGAGUGGCGAACGGGUGAGUAAUAUAUCGGAACGUGCCCAGUCGUGGGGAUAACGUAGCGAAAGCUACGCUAAUACCGCAUACGAUCUAUGGGUGAAAGCGGGGGAUCGCAAGACCUCGCGCGAUUGGAGCGGCCGAUAUCAGAUUAGGUAGUUGGUGAGGUAAAGGCUCACCAAGCCGACGAUCUGUAGCUGGUCUGAGAGGACGACCAGCCACACUGGGACUGAGACACGGCCCAGACUCCUACGGGAGGCAGCAGUGGGGAAUUUUGGACAAUGGGCGCAAGCCUGAUCCAGCAAUGCCGCGUGCAGGAUGAAGGCCUCGGUGUAACUAGCUUUUGUUACGGUAACGAACGGUAGAGCUCUAAUACAGUUU
rnacentral:rRNA from 1 species